rnacentral:lncRNA from 1 species
GCAAUGGAUAACGCGUCUGACUACGGAUCAGAAGAUUCCAGGUUCGACUCCUGGCUGGCUCGGUGUAAGCAGGGUCGUUUUACAACUUUCUGACUCCGCAGGAGUAAGGAAAUUCCUGCAAGAUAAAUUUGCCUGGAAGACUCAGAAGCAAGAGGGGCAGCUCCCGACAACAUAUGGGGUUAUCAUUUCUUUGCGGAGCAUUCUGCCACUGACCACGUGGUAACGCCAACUACGCCAGAGAAACGCUCGCCCUACCCAAGUUGUGCCCAGCCUUGCCUGGCCAUUUUGGCCGAAGAACGAAGGAC